GACGAACGCUGGCGGCGGGCUCAACACAUGCAAGUCGAACGGAAAGGCCCUGCUUUGGGUGGGUGCUCGAGUUGCGAACGGGUGAGUAACACGUGAGUAACCUGCCCUUGACUCUGGGAUAACUUCAGGAAACUGGGGCUAAUACGGGAUAGGAUGUCCUGCUGCAUGGGGGGGGUUGGAAAGUUUCGGCGGGUGGGGGUGGACUCGCGCCUUAACAGCUUGUUGGUGGGGGAGUGGCUUGCCAAGGCAUUGCCGGGUAGCCGGCCUGCGAGGGUGACCGGCCCCAUUGGGCCUGAGAUACUGCCGAGACCCCUACGGGUGGCAGCAGUGGGGAAUAUUGCACGAUGGGCGGAAGCCUGAUGCUGCCCCGCCGCGUGCGGGAUGACGGACUUCGGGUUGUAAACCGCUUUCGCAUGUGACGAAGCGCUAGUGACGGUCCUGGGUACAGCUGCCCCGCCUCACUACGUG
rnacentral:rRNA from 1 species